GGGAAGGUGGCUCAGUGGUAGAGUGCAUGCCUUGCAUGCCUGAGGCCCUGGGUUCAAUUCCUCACCACCACA
rfam:Dipodomys ordii contig_5347, whole genome shotgun sequence.